GUGGGGAAUUUUGGACAAUGGGCGAAAGCCUGAUCCAGCCAUGCCGCGUGCAGGAUGAAGGCCUUCGGGUUGUAAACUGCUUUUGUACGGAACGAAAAGACUCCUUCUAAUAAAGGGGGUCCAUGACGGUACCGUAAGAAUAAGCACCGGCUAACUACGUGCCAGCAGCCGCGGUAAUACGUGGGGUGCAAGCGUUAAUCGGAAUUACUGGGCGUAAAGCGUGCGCAGGCGGUUAUAUAAGACAGAUGUGAAAUCCCCGGGCUCAACCUGGGAACUGCAUUUGUGACUGUAUAGCUAGAGUACGGUAGAGGGGGAUGGAAUUCCGCGUGUAGCAGUGAAAUGCGUAGAUAUGCGGAGGAACACCGAUGGCGAAGGUAAUCCCCUGGACCUGUACUGACGCUCAUGCACGAAAGCGUGGGGAGCAAACAGGAUUAGAUACCCGAGUAGUCC
rnacentral:rRNA from 1 species